CACCUUCUGUGGUUCAUGGCAUGAUGAUUGAGUUUUCACAUCAUGGUGUGACAUGUAUCUCCUUUAGAACUUAUUGCUGGGUUGACACAUUACCUGUCUGACA
ensembl:snoRNA